rnacentral:rRNA from 1 species
AGAGUUUGAUCCUGGCUCAGGAUGAACGCUAGCUACAGGCUUAACACAUGCAAGUCGAGGGGAAACGACAUCGAAAGCUUGCUUUUGAUGGGCGUCGACCGGCGCACGGGUGAGUAACGCGUAUCCAACCUGCCCACCACUUGGGGAUAACCUUGCGAAAGUAAGACUAAUACCCAAUGACGUCUCUAGAAGACAUCUGAAGGAGAUUAAAGAUUUAUCGGUGAUGGAUGGGGAUGCGUCUGAUUAGCUUGUUGGCGGGUAACGGCCACAAGGCGACGAUCAGUAGGGGUUCUGAGGAGGAAGGUCCCCCAGAUUGGAACUGAGACACGGUACCAAACUCCUACGGGAGGCA